rnacentral:rRNA from 1 species
GACGAACGCUGGCGGUAUGCUUAACACAUGCAAGUCGAACGAGACGAGAUGGAAGGAUCCUUCGGGUGACGGAAAUCUUAGAAAGUGGCGAACGGGUGAGUAACGCGUGGGUAACCUGCCCUAUGGAAAGGAAUAGCCUCGGGAAACUGGGAGUAGUGCCUUAUAAUAUAGUGAAGUCGCAUGGCUUUAUUAUUAAACGCUCCGGUGCCAUAGGAUGGACCCGCGUCCCAUUAGCUAGUUGGUGAGAUAACAGCCCACCAAGGCGACGAUGGGUAACCGGUCUGAGAGGGCGAACGGUCACACUGGAACUGAGACACGGUCCAGACUCCUACGGGAGGCAGCAGUGGGGAAUAUUGCACAAUGGGCGGAAGCCUGAUGCAGCGACGCCGCGUGAGGGAAGAAGGUCUUCGGAUUGUAAACCUCUUUUGUCGGGGAAGAUGAUGACGGUACCCGGCGAAUAAGCCCCGGCUAACUACGUGCCAGCCGCCGCGGUAACAC